rnacentral:rRNA from 1 species
CCUACGGGUGGCAGCAGUGAGGAAUAUUGGUCAAUGGGCGCGAGCCUGAACCAGCCAAGUAGCGUGAAGGAUGACUGCCCUACGGGUUGUAAACUUCUUUUAUAAAGGAAUAAAGUGAGGCACGUGUGCCUUUUUGUAUGUACUUUAUGAAUAAGGAGCGGCUAACUCCGUGCCAGCAGCCGCGGUAAUACGGAGGAUCCGAGCGUUAUCCGGAUUUAUGGGGUUGAAAGGGAGCGUAGAGGGGUUGUUAAGGCAGUUGUGACAGUUUGCGGCUCAACCGUAAAAUUGCACUUGAUACUGGCAGCCUUGAGUACAGUUGCGGUAGGCGGACUUCGUGGUGUAGCGG